GUCCCCAUAGCUCAACGGACAGAGCACUAGCCUUCUAAGCUGGGAAUGUAGGUUCGAUUCCUACUGGGGACA
rfam:Candidatus Wildermuthbacteria bacterium RIFCSPHIGHO2_01_FTLL_49_22b rifcsphigho2_01_scaffold_10921, whole genome shotgun sequence.